rnacentral:rRNA from 1 species
GAUGAACGCUAGCGACAGGCCUAACACAUGCAAGUCGAGGGGUAACAUUAUUAAAGCUUGCUUUGAUAGAUGACGACCGGCGCACGGGUGCGUAACGCGUAUGCAACCUACCCAUUACAGGAGGAUAGCCCAGAGAAAUUUGGAUUAAUACUCCAUAGUAUUUACUGAAAGCAUUUUUAGUAUUUUAAAAGAUUCGUCUGGUAAUGGAUGGGCAUGCGUAUGAUUAGUUAGUUGGUAGGGUAACGGCCUACCAAGACGACGAUCAUUAGGGGUUCUGAGAGGAUAGUCCCCCACACUGGUACUGAGACACGGACCAGACUCCUACGGGAGGCAGCAGUGAGGAAUAUUGGUCAAUGGGCGAGAGCCUGAACCAGCCAAGUCGCGUGCAGGACGACUGCCCUAUGGGUUGUAAACUGCUUUUAUAUAGGAAUAAUUGUUUCUACGUGUAGGAAUUUGAAUGUACUAUAUGAAUAAGCACCGGCUAACUCCGUGCCAGCAGCCGCGGUAAUACGGAGGGUGCAAGCGUUAUCCGGAUUUAUUGGGUUUAAAGGGUGCGUAGGCGGGUUCAUAAGUCAGUGGUGAAAGUCUGUCGCUUAACGAUAGAAUUGCCAUUGAAACUGUGGAUCUUGAAUACAGUAGAGGUAGGCGGAAUAUAUUGUGUAGCGGUGAAAUGCAUAGAUACGAUAUAGAACACCUAUUGCGAAGGCAGCUUACUAUGCUGUAAUUGACGCUGAUGCACGAAAGCGUGGGGAGCGAACAGG